rnacentral:rRNA from 1 species
GACGAACGCUGGCGGCGUGCUUAACACAUGCAAGUCGAGCGGAGCGGCGAACGGGUGAGUAACGCGUGAGUAACUGCCCCCCUCUCUGGGAUAACAGUUGGAAACGGCUGCUAAUACCGGAUAGUGGGGGAUGACUCGCGUCCUAUCAGCUUGUUGGUGGGGUAGGGCCCUACCAAGGCGACGACGGGUAGCCCGCCUGGGCGGUCGACCGGCCACAUUUGGCUGGGAUACGGCCCAAACGCCUACGGGAGGCAGCAGUGGGGAAUAUUGCACAAUGGGGGAACGCCUGAUGCAGCAACGCCGGGUGCGGGAUGACGGCCUUCGGGUUGUAAACCGCUUUCGUCCAUGACGCGGUAGUGGCAGAAGAAGCACCGGCUAACUCCGUGCCAGCAGCCGCGGUAAUAC